UCUAGUAGAUUACUGAUGUCUUAGUGUCGAGAAUUGAAUAUUUGAAGAGAAUUUAAAACACGAUCCCUUUUUGUAUUAGGACAUUACUUAACUAAAUUAGUUUUCACGAAGAGAGCUUAUUUCAAGUUAAUUGAGAAGAAAUGAUCAUAUCUCGUACGUUAGGACAUACUGCCUUA
rnacentral:pre_miRNA from 1 species